rnacentral:rRNA from 1 species
UGGGGAAUAUUGCACAAUGGGGGAAACCCUGAUGCAGCGACGCCGCGUGAACGAAGAAGGUAUUCGUAUCGUAAAGUUCUGUCCUAUGGGAAGAUAAUGACAGUACCAUAGAAGAAAGCUCCGGCUAAAUACGUGCCAGCAGCCGCGGUAAUACGUAUGGAGCGAGCGUUGUCCGGAAUUAUUGGGCGUAAAGGGUACGCAGGCGGUUUAAUAAGUCGAAUGUUAAAGAUCGGGGCUCAACCCCGUAAAGCAUUGGAAACUGAUAAACUUGAGUAGUGGAGAGGAGAGUGGAAUUCCUAGUGUAGUGGUGAAAUACGUAGAUAUUAGGAGGAAUACCAGUAGCGAAGGCGACUUUCUGGACACAAACUGACGCUGAGGUACGAAAGCGUGGGGAGCAAACAGG